AAACCACCCCUGCCAGUCUCCCCCCAAGCCAGGGUGGCUGGCAUCCAGCCCCUUGCAGAAGGGUUUUGCAGACAUGAAUUGUCAGGCAGGACCAAAUAGAAAAGUACCCAGCAUUUUGGCAAAGCCAACCACAAUGACAGCACCAGCACCGCCGCGUGCAGCCAGCAGCCGCAGCCCUCUGGCCCAGCGCGCCCGCUCCCACCCCUCCAGAACCAUCCAGUACAUCCUGCUGGACAGCUGCAGGAACGUCCCAGCAUCCCACAUCCUAGCCGGCAUGGACUCCCACAAGGCCCACAGAGGGAAGCCAGCCCAGGGCUCAGGGCACUCUCUGGAUGCUAGGAAGAGGCUGCCAGUGUUCCUGCAGCUGUGUGGAGAGGACGUGGCAACCACAUCCCCCAGAGAUGUGCGUCUGCAAAUCUCCAGCCAUGAGCGGAAAGUGC
ensembl:lncRNA